UAGAGUUUGAUCCUGGCUCAGGAUGAACGCUGGCGGCGUGCCUUAAGCAUGCAAGUCGAACGGUUUCCGCAAGGAAGCAGUGGCGGACGGGUGAGUAACGCGUAGAAAUCUACCCCUAGGAGGACCAUAGCUCAUCGAAAGAUGGGGUAAUAGUCCAUAGUCUCGCAAGAGUAAAGCAUUAACUUUGCGCCAAGGGAGGAGUCUGCGUCCUAUCAGCUUGUUGGUGGGGUAAUAGCCUACCAAGGCGAUGACGGGUAGCUGGACUGAGAGGUCGAUCAGCCACAACUGCACUUAGACACGGGCAGUACACCUACGGGUGGCAGCAACUAGGAAUAUUGGGCAAUGGGCGAAAGCCUGACCCAGCGACGCCGCGUGGAGGAUGACAGCCCUCGGGUUGUAAACUCCUUUUGAUAGUCCCUUCACGGACUAUAGAAUAAGCCUCUACUAACUACGUGCCAGAAGUCUCGGUAAUACGUAGGAGGCAAGCGUUAUCCGGAUUCAUUGGGCGUAAAGUGUGCGUAGGCGCCUUAAAAAGUCGUAUCUUAAAGACCAAGGCUUAACCUUGGGAAUGGAUACGAUACUUUUAAGGUUGAGGAUUGUUAGGGAUGUCGGAACAGCUAGUGUAGCAGUGAAAUGCGUUGAUAUUAGCUGGAACACCAAAGGCGAAGGCAGACAUCUGGAAUUUUCCUGACGCUGAGGCACGAAAGCUAGGGUAGCGAAACAGAUUAGAUACCUGUGUAGUCCUAGCCGUAAACGAUGUCCGCUAGCUCUGUGUACUUGUAUACGGGGUGUAAGCUAACGCGUUAAGCGGACCGCCUGGGGAGUACGGCCGCAAGGCUAAAACUCAAAGGAAUUGACGGGGACCCGCACAACCGGUGGAGCGUGUGGUUCAAUUCGAGACAAAACGAAAAACCUCACCAGGGCUUGACAUGAUACCGUUUAUGCUUUAAGAAAUUAGAGCAAAUCCGCAAGGAUGGUACCACAGGUGCUGCAUGGCUGUCGUCAGCUCGUGCCGUGAGGUGUUCCCUUAAGUGGGGAAACGAGCGCAACCCGCGUCCAAUGUUGAAUAUUCAUUGGAGACGGUCCCGGUUUUACCGGGAAGGAAGGAGCGGAAGACGUCAAGUCAGCACGGCCCUUAUGCCCUGGGCUACACACACACUACAAUGGCGAAAAACAACGGGCUGCAAGCCGGUAACGGCAAGCUAAUCCCUUAAAUUUCGCCUCAGUUCAGAUUGGGGUCUGCAACCUGACCCCAUGAAGUCGGAAUCGGUAGUAAUCGCAGAUCAGCAUGCUGCGGUGAAUACGUUCUCGGGUCUUGUACACACCGCCCGUCAAGGCAGCAAAGUCGGUGGUUAUCGAACAUCCUUUUGGGGGUGGAGAUAAAAAUCGGCGAUGAAGCUUAAGUCGUAACAAGGUAACC
rnacentral:rRNA from 1 species